rnacentral:rRNA from 1 species
GGAGGGGGAUAACUACUGGAAACGGUAGCUAAUACCGCAUAACGUCGCAAGACCAAAGAGGGGGACCUUCGGGCCUCUUGCCAUCGGAUGUGCCCAGAUGGGAUUAGCUUGUAGGUGAGGUAACGGCUCACCUAGGCGACGAUCCCUAGCUGGUCUGAGAGGAUGACCAGCCACACUGGAACUGAGACACGGUCCAGACUCCUACGGGAGGCAGCAGUGGGGAAUAUUGCACAAUGGGCGCAAGCCUGAUGCAGCCAUGCCGCGUGUAUGAAGAAGGCCUUCGGGUUGUAAAGUACUUUCAGCGGGGAGGAAGGGAGUGAGGUUAAUAACCUCAUUCAUUGACGUUACCCGCAGAAGAAGCACCGGCUAACUCCGUGCCAGCAGCCGCGGUAAUACGGAGGGUGCGAGCGUUAAUCGGAAUUACUGGGCGUAAGGCGCACGCAGGCGGUCUGUCAAGUCGGAUGUGAAAUCCCCGGGCUCAACCUGGGAACUGCAUUCGAAACUGGCAGGCUGGAGUCUUGUAGAGGGGGGUAGAAUUCCAGGUGUAGCGGUGAAAUGCGUAGAGAUCUGGAGGAAUACCGGUGGCGAAGGCGGCCCCCUGGACAAAGACUGACGCUCAGGUGCGAAAGCGUGGGGAGCAAACAGGAUUAGAUACCCUGGUAGUCCACGCUGUAAACGAUGUCGACUUGGAGGUUGUUCCCUUGAGGAGUGGCUUCCGGAGCUA